rnacentral:rRNA from 1 species
GAUGAACGCUGGCGGCGUGCCUAAUACAUGCAAGUCGAACGAGGUGCUUUUGUAGCAAUACGAGAGUAUCCUAGUGGCGAACGGGUGAGUAACGCGUUGGUGACCUACCCCAAAGUGUGGGAGUAACAGUCCGAAAGGAUUGCUAAUACCGCAUGUGGUUAUUGGAUUUAGUAAACCGAUAACUAAAGGAAGCAAUUCGCUUUGGGUAGGGACCGUGCGUCCCACUCAGCUAGUUGGUGAGGUAAUGGCUCACCAAGGCUACGACGGGUA